rnacentral:rRNA from 1 species
AUAAACGCUGGCGGCGCACAUAAGACAUGCAAGUCGAACGGAAGUCGUUGUAAUGAUGUUGAAACGAACAGAGAACUUGUCAAAGUGAAGUGAGAUUGACUUACAACAAUGGCUUUAGUGGCGGACUGGUGAGUAAUGUAUAAGUAACCUGCCUAUUAGAGGGGAACAACAGUUAGAAAUGACUGCUAAUACCGCAUAUGCCAUAUAGAAGACAUCUUCUAAGUGGGAAAGGAGAAAUCCGCUAAUAGAUGGACUUAUAUCUGAUUAGUUAGUUGGUGGGGUAACGGCCUACCAAGACGACGAUCAGUAGCCGGACUGAGAGGUUAAACGGCCACAUUGGGACUGAGAUACGGCCCAGACUCCUACGGGAGGCAGCAGUCGGGAAUAUUGCGCAAUGGAGGAAACUCUGACGCAGUGACGCCGCGUGCAGGAAGAAGGUUUUCGGAUUGUAAACUGCUUUAGACAGGGAAGAAAAAAGACAGUACCUGUAGAAUAAGCUCCGGCUAACUACGUGCCAGCCGCGGC